rnacentral:rRNA from 1 species
AAGCGGCGGAGCAUGCGGUAUUAAUUCGAUGCAACGCGAAGAACCUUACCAAGGCUUGACAUACACCGGUAACGCCCAGAGAUGGGUGCCCCUUUGUGGUCGGUGGACAGGUGGUGCAUGGUUGUCGUCAGCUCGUGUCGUGAGAUGUUGGGUUAAGUCCCGCAACGAGCGCAACCCUCGUCCUAUGUUGCCAGCGGGUCAUGCCGGGGACUCAUGGGAGACUGCCGGGGUCAACUCGGAGGAAGGUGGGAUGACGUCAAAUCAUCAUGCCCCUUAUGUCUUGGGCUUCACGCAUGCUACAAUGGCCGGUACAAAGGGCUGCGAUACCGCGAGGUGGAGCGAAUCCCAGAAAGCCGGUCUCAGUUCGGAUUGGGGUCUGCAACUCGACCCCAUGAAGUCGGAGUCGCUAGUAAUCGCAGAUCAGCAACGCUGCGGUGAAUACGUUCCCGGGCCUU